UAGCACUCUCGGAGCUGAACGUGCACAUAAACCGAAUUAUUAUAGGUUUCAGAGUAAGUUAUUACAAGGUUUCUUGAAACAGAUAUUUCUUUUGAUUUCAACAAUUUUCACUCAUUUACAAUUACAUGUGAAAGCUGCACAUGCUGGCCGUUGCAAAAGUUGAACAGGAGCUGGAACAAACCCUUGUGACCGCUUCUUCGGCGUUGAAGAAGUAACCUGCACACUGAAAUGAAUCUUUCACAGAACACAAUCACAAGACGUUUACUGUUCAUCAGUAUCGUACUGAUUGGUUUUGCUACACCUGUUAUAACCUAUCAAAACAGUCCGAAACCCGCUCGAGGCCAGAACAAGCCACCAAGUCCGGCCAUGAAAGCGGAAACUUCAGGACCCCUGCAAGGCCCACCAGUAAGUCUUAGUUCCGGAGGACGAACCGGAACACAGAACGCACAGG